CUACGGGGGGCUGCAGUGAGGAAUAUUGCGCAAUGGGGGAAACCCUGACGCAGCAACGCCGCGUGAGUGAUGAAGGCCUUUGGGUUAUAAAGCUCUGUCAGAUGGGAAGAAAACUUAGGGUACUAAUAAUACCUUAAAUUGACGGUACCAUUAGAGGAAGCCCCGGCUGAACUCCGUGCCAGCAGCCGCGGUAAUACGGAGGGGGCAAGCGUUGUUCGGAAUCAUUGGGCGUAAAGGGCGCGUAGGUGGUUAUAUAAGUUGGACGUGAAAUUUCUCGGCUCAACCGAGAGACUGCGUCUAAUACUGUGUAACUUGAGUGCAAGAGAGGAGAGUGGAAUUCCCAGUGUAGCGGUGAAAUGCGUAGAUAUUGGGAGGAACACCAGUGGCGAAGGCGGCUCUCUGGAUUGACACUGACACUGAUGCGCGAAAGCUAGGGGAGCAAACAGGAUUAGAUACCCCAGUAGUC
rnacentral:rRNA from 1 species